rnacentral:rRNA from 1 species
UACAGAGGCCACGAGCGUUAGGCGGAAUCACUGGGCUUAAAGCGUGUGUAGGUGGAUGACUAAGUACCUUGUGAAAUCCCACGGCUCAACCGUGGAACUGCUUGGUAUACUGGUUGUCUUGAGGCACUCAGGGGCGAGCGGAACAGAUGGUGGAGCGGUGAAAUGCGUAGAUAUCAUCUGGAACGCCAAUGGUGAAGACAGCUCGCUGGGGGUGUACUGACACUGAGACACGAAAGCCAGGGGAGCAAACGGG